AGCAUCUGUGUGAGUGUUUGUCUAAUGUGUAGACAAAGACUUUGAGACAGGUGCAAAAAUAAAUCCUCUUUUGCAACCCAGAACUCGUUGUUUGGUAUGAGUUCUGAUACAUAUGAGAAGGAACAUG
ensembl:snoRNA